AAGACUAAACCACCCGCGAGGGUGGGGCGGAAAGCCCACGGGUCUCUCUGAGACAGCCGGGAUGCCGAA
rnacentral:ncRNA from 1 species